rnacentral:rRNA from 1 species
AUUGAACGCUGGCGGCAUGCCUAACACAUGCAAGUCGAGCGGAUGAAGGAAGCUCGCUCCUGGAUUCAGCUGCGGACGGGCGAGUAAUUCCUAGGAAUCUGCCUGGUAUUUGGGACUAACGUCCGUUAACGGGCGCUAAUACCGCAUACGCCCUUAGGUAGAAAGUGGGGGAUCUUCGGACCUCACGCUAUCAGAUGAGCCUGGGUCGGAUUAGCUAGUUGGUUAGGUAAAGGCCUACCAAGGCGACGAUCCGUAACUGACCUGAGAGGAUGAUCAGCCACACUGGAACUGAGACACGGUCCAGACUCCUACGGGAGGCAGCAGUAGGGAAUAUUGGGCAAUGGGCGAAAGCCUGAUCCAGCAAUGCCGCGUGAGUGAAGAAGGUCUUCGGAUUGUAAAACACUUUAAGUAGGGAGGAAGGGAAGUAAGUUAAUACCUGGCUGUUUUGACGGUACCAACAGAGAAAGCAACGGCUAACUUCGUG